GGGAUUACCUCAGUAACGGCGAGUGAAGCGGUAACAGCUCAAAUUUGAAAUCUGGCUCUUUCAGGGUCCGAGUUGUAAUUUGUAGAAGAUGCUUCGGGUGUGGCUCCGGUCUAAGUUCCUUGGAACAGGACGUCAUAGAGGGUGAGAAUCCCGUAUGUGACUGGGUGCCUUCGCUCAUGUGAAGCUCUUUCGACGAGUCGAGUUGUUUGGGAAUGCAGCUCAAAAUGGGUGGUAAAUUUCAUCUAAAGCUAAAUAUUGGCCAGAGACCGAUAGCGCACAAGUAGAGUGAUCGAAAGAUGAAAAGCACUUUGGAAAGAGAGUUAAACAGUACGUGAAAUUGUUGAAAGGGAAGCGCUUGCAACCAGACUUGCCCGCCGUCGAUCAUCCGGGGUUCUCCCCGGUGCACUCGGCGGCGUUCAGGCCAGCAUCGGUUUCGGGGGUGGGAUAAAGGCCUUGGGAAUGUAGCUUCUUUCGGGGAGUGUUAUAGCCCUCGGUGCAAUGCCGCCACCCGGGACCGAGGACCGCGCUUCGGCUAGGAUGCUGGCGUAAUGGUUGUAAGCGACCCGUCUUGAAACACGGACCAAGGAGUCUAACAUCUAUGCGAGUGUUUGGGUGUCAAACCCAUACGCGUAAUGAAAGUGAACGGAGGUGAGAACCCUUAAGGGCGCAUCAUCGACCGAUCCUGAUGUCUUCGGAUGGAUUUGAGUAAGAGCAUAGCUGUUGGGACCCGAAAGAUGGUGAACUAUGCGUGAAUAGGGUGAAGCCAGAGGAAACUCUGGUGGAGGCUCGCAGCGGUUCUGACGUGCAAAUCGAUCGUCAAAUUUGCGUAUAGGGGCGAAAGACUAAUCGAACCAUCUA
rnacentral:rRNA from 1 species